rnacentral:lncRNA from 1 species
UGCGACACAAACAACAACACAGAGUUACACAUGGAAUAAAUAAGCGUACAGUCAAUAACACAAUGGAAAAAAAGAAAGUCUAUAUACAGUUUGUGCAAAUGGCGUGAGGAGGUAGGCAAUAAAUAGGCCAUAGUAGCGAAGUAAUUACAAUUUAGCAAAUUAACACUGGAGUGAUAAAUGAGCAGAUGAUGAUGUUUAAGUAGAGAUACUGGUGUGCAAAAGAUCAGAAAAGUAAAUAAAGACAAUAUGGGGAUGAGUCACUGGCAGCAGAAAACUGGAAGGAAAGGCAGCCAAAGGAGAUGUUGGCCUUGGGGAUGACCAGUGUGAUAUACCUGCUGGAGCGCGUGCUACGGGGUCCUGGUGUAACAGUAUAGCUUCCGUCCCUCUCCUCGCCCCUACCUGGGCUCGUACCAGGGACCCUCUGCACACAUCGACAACAGCCACCCCACCGGGAGUUGCC